rnacentral:misc_RNA from 1 species
GGAAGAUCAGUCUACGGUAUAUUUCAAGUUUUCUGACUAUUACACCAUACAAUACAUGUGUGAUUACCCCAAAAAAUUAACAUAUCAUGAUUAUGUGGCUUUGCCAAGUGCAUUUUUGGACUAGUACGAUGAGUACACAUCAAGGUUUUAGGAUGUGGAAAAACCACAUUACUUAUAAAUGGCAACUUUUCCAGUCACUAAAUGGAUAUGUAAUCUCUGAUUAUAAAUUUGGUUACCCAGUGAAAGUAUUUUCUUGAAUUUCAGUCAAAAGGAUUAUUUCCCCUUUUUCUUUAUCUUUCUUUCUUUGUGUGAGGG